rnacentral:snRNA from 1 species
UACUCCGUGAAUCGGAGGCGGGG